rnacentral:sRNA from 1 species
GAAGUAAAGGCAGUCUGGCUGUGGGAUAGGUUGCUCUCUUCUCUGGGGUUUAUUUGGCUAGUCUAGCUGACUAGGCAGGUGUUCACCUUCACUCAUUGCUUUAUGAUUUAAACCUGAAGCUUAAUGCUCUGUAAAAGAAGAUGACCUUCUCAGUUAGAGAAUAAUUACUGAAUGAAUUUCUCCUCAGCUAGAACUUCCAAACAAGUCUGAGUAACUAAGGAAAAGUAACAAUUACCAUUCC